rnacentral:rRNA from 1 species
UACGGAGGGGGUUAGCGUUGUUCGGAAUGACUGGGCGUAAAGCGCGCGUAGGCGGGCUGGAAAGUUGGGGGUGAAAUCCCGGGGCUCAACCCCGGAAUGGCCUUCAAAACUCCCAGCCUAGAGUUCGAGAGAGGUGAGUGGAAUUCCGAGUGUAGAGGUGAAAUUCGUAGAUAUUCGGAGGAACACCAGUGGCGAAGGCGGCUCACUGGCUCGAUACUGACGCUGAGGUGCGAAAGCGUGGGGAGCAAACAGG